GUUUAGAGUAAGCCUAAAAGUUGCAAUCAAAAUCCUUGCUUUCCCAUCGUUCACUAGUUACGUGACCUUCAGCAAUUUACUAUCUCAAAUAAUAGUAAAUUUCCUCAGUUGGUGAAGCUAGUAUAUAUUUUUUUUAAAAAAAACUGGUACUGGUACAGACUCAAGUGUUUUCUGUGUAUGUGUUUGAGAAACAGACAUGAUAUAUAAAGAAACCUUUUCAAGCCAGUGGAAAUACUGGGGAUAAAGUUUUUAAACCUAAAAACAAAAUCCGUUUAGUAAAUACAUACAAAUUCUUUGAUGCUGUCUUGUGUGUAGGUAGGAAGGGAGUGCAUCACAAGAGGAUCCUUGUAAAUGGGGAUUUAAGAAGCCAGCCAUUGUAAGAAGUUAACAAUACUUUUGAUGGGGGUGGGUACCAGGGAUUGAACUCAGGGCCACUCAACCACAGAGCCACAUCACCAGCCCUAUUUUGUAUUAGAGACAGGGUCUCAGAGUUGCUUAGUAUUUCACUAUUGCUGAGGCUGGCUUUGAAUUCGCAAUCCUCCUGCCUCAGCCUCCCAAGCCACUGGGAUUACAGGUGUGUGCUACCGUGCCCCAGCAGUUAACAGUAUUUUGGACAGUAGGAAUAAAAAGUGCAGGAACCAUGAGAUGGGAAAGCAUAGUAUUCUUGGAGGAAGGAAAAGCGAGGUCUUGAGUGGUGGGUGUGAAGGGUGUGCAAGAGAUAUGUGGAGAUUGGAGAAAUGCCAAAUCACUCAACAGGAGCAUGGUUUGAAUUUUAUUCUAAAGGAAGUCUGGAGAACUUGAAACUGGUGAGUAAUGUAUGGUUUGUGUUUAAGCACUUAUUGUAGGUUGAAUGGUGGUGAAUCAUGUUAUCGGAGAUUUGCGAUGGGGUGAGUUUCUGGGAAGUUACAGGGAUCCGUUAGGUGAGAAUAAACCUGGAUGAAAACAAUGUGAUGAAUUAUUGACUGGAUAAUCAUUGAAGAAGUUGAGAUGCUUACCCUCGAUGUGAGAAGCACAGAAAAAGGGGUAGAUUGGAAAGUUUCUUAUUUUUUUUUAAAUUUUAUUUUAGUUGUCAAUGCACAUUUAUUUAUUUAUAUGUGGUGCUGAGAAUUGAACCCAGCAUUCUGCCACUGAGCCACAACCCCACCCUGAAAGUUUCUUUUUCUAAUGGUUGUAAUAAUGGUUUAAUGGACCUGUGAGAGUCAUAUUUACUACAUGGAUGGGGAAAAAAAAGUGAAUAAGGUGGGGAGGGAAGUAAGGGUCAACUCAGUACCUCAGUUUGUAUUCUUGCAAAAUAAUUAACAAGAUGAAUUGCCAAAAUAUGGUUUAAUGUGCCAUGUUGUCUCUUCUGUCCUUAUGUGGAAGUAGUGAAGGGCACAACAAGCAUUUCAGUGUCUUUCAGCAGUAAGCUCUUUAGCACACACAUUUCUACUAUAUCUUCCUUUUGAACUUUCCCCCAAUUGGUUAUUCAUUCUUCUUGAUUUUAUUCCUCAUGGCAGGUAGGCCUUUGCUAACAGAUACUGCAGCAGCCCUGGAAUGAGUUGUUUGCUUGUUGCUUCCCCUUUUUUUCAGGCUCCCAAGGCUGAGGCAGACACCAGGGUAUCCAGUUGGGGCAACCAGUUGGGUUUGUUGGUUGGUUUUCUGAUACUGGUGAUUAAGUCUAUUGCAUGCUUGGCAAGUAGUCCUGUUUUUUAUUUUGUGGAGGGGUGGAUAUUGAUUGAACUUGGGACUUCAUGUCUGCUAGGUUAUUGUUCUACCACUGAGCUAUAUCUUUAGCCCUUUUAAAAAUUAAUUUUUUUUCCAUAUAUGUAUAUGUGUGUACAUAUUUUGUGGUGAAGCUAAAACAGUUGUUCUUGGGUACUGUGGCUGGGGAUGAGGCAUGAAACUUGCAUAUUGGAUUUUUUUUUUUUGAACUGUGAAUUUUGAAACCACGGUUGCUUUACCACUGAGUCUCUGGUGAUCUGGAGAUCACCCUUUUUUAUUUUGAGAUAGUGUCUUACUUAGUUACUGAGGCUAGCUUUGAACUUGUGAUUCUCUUGUCUCAGCCUCCAAGUUGCAUGGAUUACAGGCGUGCACCACCAAACCUGGCUCUCAUUCUUUUAAUAACUUCCUUUCAUGUAGAGUAAAACUUGAGUGAUUGGAAAUGGCAUAGUAGGUGGGAGUCAAGAAUGAUAUACCUUUUAAUUCUAAAAAAAUUUUGUCCUUUGGCGCCUAAAGGCACCCAUUAUCUGACCCCUGCUUAUUGUUACA
rnacentral:lncRNA from 1 species